rnacentral:lncRNA from 1 species
CAUAUUUUUCAAAUCUUUCUUGUUGACCUCCUAAGUGAUUUUGAUGAUGAUCAAAUAUUGGAGCACAUAAUUACUAAUAUUUUUUUUAAGUAUUGUAAAGAUUGGAAGAAAGAGAGCUCUUUGAACAAUAUGAGGUAGAAACUAAGUCAUUGUAGUGCCCAAGUGACAUCAAAUUAGAGCUAAAAUCAAGUGAAAAAGGCUUUGGGAAGGAUUCGAGUCAACUCAAGAGAUUUUGGAGUCGACUCUAGCACAGUUUGGGCACUGUCA